rnacentral:rRNA from 1 species
AGAGUUUGAUCCUGGCUCAGGAUGAACGCUAGCUGCAGGCUUAACACAUGCAAGUCGAGGGGCAGCGAGGGUAGCAAUACCUGUCGGCGACCGGCGGAAGGGUGCGUAACGCGUGAGCAACUUGCCCGUAUCUGGGGGAUAGUCACUGGAAACGGUGCGUAAUACCCCAUAACAACGGAUCCCGCAUGGGAACUGUUUGAAAGAAUUUCGGAUACGGAUAGGCUCGCGAGACAUUAGCUAGUUGGCGGGGUAACGGCCCACCAAGGCGACGAUGUCUAGGGGUUCUGAGAGGAAGGUCCCCCACAUUGGAACUGAGACACGGUCCAAACUCCUACGGGAGGCAGCAGUGAGGAAUAUUGGUCAAUGGCCGAAAGGCUGAACCAGCCAUGCCGCGUGCAGGAUUAAGGCCCUAUGGGUCGUAAACUGCUUUUGUGGUGGAGCAAUAAGACGUACGUGUACGUCGAUGAGAGUACAUCACGAAUAAGCAUCGGCUAACUCCGUGCC